AAUAGCAUGCUUGAAAAAAAGGUCGUCUUGAUAGGACGAAUAAUGAAAGCUUACCUUUCUGCUAUUA
rnacentral:tRNA from 1 species